UGGGGAAUUUUGGACAAUGGGCGAAAGCCUGAUCCAGCAAUGCCGCGUGUGUGAAGAAGGCCUUCGGGUUGUAAAGCACUUUUGUCCGGAAAGAAAUCCUUGGCUCUAAUACAGUCGGGGGAUGACGGUACCGGAAGAAUAAGCACCGGCUAACUACGUGCCAGCAGCCGCGGUAAUACGUAGGGUGCAAGCGUUAAUCGGAAUUACUGGGCGUAAAGCGUGCGCAGGCGGUUUGCUAAGACCGAUGUGAAAUCCCCGGGCUCAACCUGGGAACUGCAUUGGUGACUGGCAGGCUAGAGUAUGGCAGAGGGGGGUAGAAUUCCACGUGUAGCAGUGAAAUGCGUAGAGAUGUGGAGGAAUACCGAUGGCGAAGGCAGCCCCCUGGGCCAAUACUGACGCUCAUGCACGAAAGCGUGGGGAGCAAAACAGGAUUAGAUACCCUGGUAGUCCACGCCCUAAAACGAUGUCAACUAGUUGUUGGGGAUUCAUUCCUUAGUAACGUAGCUAACGCGUGAAGUUGACCGCCUGGGGAGUACGGUCGCAAAGAUUAAAACUUAAAUGAAUUGACGGGGUCAUAGCUGUUUCCU
rnacentral:rRNA from 1 species